GACGAACGCUGGCGGCGUGCUUAACACAUGCAAGUCGAACGGAAAGGCCCUGCUUUUGUGGGGCGCUCGAGUGGCGAACGGGUGAGUAACACGUGAGUAACCUGCCCUUGACUUUGGGAUAACUUCAGGAAACUGGGGCUAAUACCGGAUAGGAGCUCCUGCUGCAUGGUGGGGGUUGGAAAGUUUCGGCGGUUGGGGAUGGACUCGCGGCUUAUCAGCUUGUUGGUGGGGUAGUGGCUUACCAAGGCUUUGACGGGUAGCCGGCCUGGGAGGGUGACCGGGAAAAUGGGAAUAGGGGAGGCACCCAGGGGGAAAGGGGAGGAAGGGGGGGGAAAGUGUGCAAAAGGGGCGGAGGGGGGGAGGAAGGACGCCGGGUGGGGGAGAAGGGCUUUUGGGUGAGAAAAGGAGUUGGCGGGGAACGAGGGGUGGGGAAGGUAAAGGGAGAAAAAAAAACGGCUAAAUUAGGG
rnacentral:rRNA from 1 species